rnacentral:rRNA from 1 species
GACGAACGCUGGCGGCGCGCUUAACACAUGCAAGUCGAACGGGGAAACCGUAACUGUGCGCUGCGGGGCGAGGAACAAGUGGUAAAGCACCCGUCGGUUCAGUAACCUGUAAGUAACCUUCCUUUGACAUUGGUAUAGCCCCUGGGGGCCAGGAUUAAUUGCUGCUAGAUUGGUAUUGGCACGUUUCAUUAGUUGCAAAGGUACUGGCGGCUAAGCUGGACGCUCGUCCGAUUGUCUAGUAGGUAGAGUAAUAGCAUACCAAGGCGAGGAUGGGUGGCCGGGCUGGGAGGGUGAACGGCCACAUUGGAACUGAGGCACGGUCCAAACUCCUACGGGAGGCAGCGGUGGGGAAUAUUGCAGAAUGGAGGCAACUCUGAUGCCGCCACGCCGCGGGAGCGAAGAAGGCGUUAGAGUCGUAAAGUUCUUUUAUACGGGAAGAUAAUGACGGUACCGGAAGAAAAAGCCCCGGCUAACUACGUG